rnacentral:rRNA from 1 species
GAUGAACGCUGGCGGCGUGCUUAACACAUGCCAGUCGAACGAAGCACUUUAUUUGAUUUCCUUCGGGACUGAUUAUUUUGUGACUGAGUGGCAGACGGGUGAGUAACGCGUGGGUAACCUGCCUUGUACAGGGGGAUAACAGUUGGAAACGGCUGCUAAUACCGCAUAAGCGCACAGCAUCGCAUGAUGCAGUGUGAAAAACUCCGGUGGUAUAAGAUGGACCCGCGUUGGAUUAGCUAGUUGGUGAGGUAACGGCCCACCAAGGCGACGAUCCAUAGCCGAACUGAGAGGGGGACAAGCCACAUGGGGACUGAGACACGGCCCAAACUCCUACGGGAGGAAGCAGUGGGGAAUAUUGCACAAUGGGCGAAAGCCUGAUGCAGCGACGCCGCGUGAGCGAAGAAGUAUUUCGGUAUGUAAAGCGCUAGCAGCAGGGAAGAUAAUGACGGUACCUGACUAAGAAGCGCCGGCUAAAUACGUG